GACGAACGCUGGCGGCGUGCUUAACACAUGCAAGUCGAACGGAAAGGCCUCUUUCGGGGGGUACUCGAGUGGCGAACGGGUGAGUAACACGUGAGUAACCUGCCCUUUACUUUGGGAUAACUUCAGGAAACUGGGGCUAAUACCGGAUAGGAGCUCCUGCUGCAUGGUGGGGGUUGGAAAGUUUCGGCGGUUGGGGAUGGACUCGCGGCUUAUCAGCUUGUUGGUGGGGUAGUGGCUUACCAAGGCUUUGACGGGUAGCCGGCCUGAGAGGGUGACCGGCCACAUUGGGACUGAGAUACGGCCCAGACUCCUACGGGAGGCAGCAGUGGGGAAGAUUGCACAAUGGGUGGAAGCCUGAUGCAGCAACGCCGUGUGCGGGAUGACGGCCUUCGGGUUGUAAACCGCUUUCGCUCAUGACGAAGCUUUGUGUGACGGUAGUGGGUAAAGAAGCACCGGCUAACUACGUG
rnacentral:rRNA from 1 species